CUCGUAGCUUGCUAUGAGAACAAUUAGUGACAGACGGGUGAGUAAUGCAUAGGAAUCUACCUAGUAGUAUAGGAUAGCCACUAGAAAUGGUGGGUAAUACUGUAUAAUCCCUGCGGGGGAAAGAUUUAUCGCUACAUGAUGAGCCUAUGUUAGAUUAGCUAGUUGGUGGAGUAAUGGCCUACCAAGGCAGUGAUCUAUAGCUGGUCUGAGAGGAUGAUCAGCCACACUGGAACUGAGACACGGUCCAGACUCCUACGGGAGGCAGCAGUGGGGAAUAUUGGACAAUGGGCGCAAGCCUGAUCCAGCUAUGCCGCGUGAGUGAGGAAGGCCUUAGGGUUGUAAAACUCUUUCAGUGGGGAAGAUAAUGACGGUACCCACAGAAGAAGUCCCGGCAAACUCCGUGCCAGCAGCCGCGGUAAUACGGAGGGGGCAAGCGUUGUUCGGAAUUAUUGGGCGUAAAGGGCAUGUAGGCGGUUCGGUAAGUUAAAGGUGAAAUGCCAGGGCUUAACCCUGGAGCUGCUUUUAAUACUGCCAGACUGGAGUCCGGGAGA
rnacentral:rRNA from 1 species